AGAUUGAACGCUGGCGGCAUGCCUUACACAUGCAAGUCGAACGGCAGCACGGGAGCAAUCCUGGUGGCGAGCGGCGAACGGGUGAGUAAUACAUCGGAACGUGCCCAAUCGUGGGGGAUAACGCAGCGAAAGCUGUGCUAAUACCGCAUAAGAUCUACGGAUGAAAGCAGGGGAUCGCAAGACCUUGCGCGAAUGGGGCGCCGAUGGCAGAUUAGGUAGUUGGUGAGGUAAAGGCUCACCAAGCCUUCGAUCUGUAGCUGGUCUGAGAGGAUGAUCAGCCACACUGGGACUGAGACCACGGCCCAGACUCCGUAGGGAGGCAGCAGGUAGGGAAUAUUGGACAAGUGGCGAAAGCCUAGAUCCAGCAAUGCCGCGUGAGUGAUGAAGGUCUUAGGUUGUAAGCUUCUUUACCGAGAUAGAUAA
rnacentral:rRNA from 1 species